rnacentral:lncRNA from 1 species
CGAGUCAGAUGCCCGCUUGUUUUUCUGGUCCCACCUUCCAGAAUGCAGUGCCAGACUCUGGACUUGAGGGUUCUGGGCUGUGGUCUCUUGAAACAAAAGAGAGAAGGGUGAGUGGCUUGGCUUUGGGAAGCCUGAUCGGGGCGGUUACAGUGCUAAUUUUUUUAAAUGGCUUUCAAAGAGAAGUCCUUAGCCAAGUUAGUCUUGCUCCCCCAUGGUUUUGCAGACUCAAAUCCAGGCCAACUGUAUCUGAGGUGUUGGAACGGAAGGAGGUCCAUUCCUGUUGGUGACAACACUGUGGCCCUGUUCUGGGAUGACCGAGAUGUUAAGGUUGCCUCCAAGAAAGAGGAACUGAGUCCUUGCAUCUUGUGGCAGCUGUUGUGCCCAGCACGGAGUCUGUGGGAGCUGAAGCCAGCCCAGCCUUUUCUCAUGGGCAGCGCCCACCCGUGCUGAGGUCCUGUGGCUGGUGUGAGGUGAGUAAUGGAUUCCAGGGCAGGGAGUUAGGAAUCCAGGUAAAUGCCACCUUUCA